rnacentral:rRNA from 1 species
AACCUUUACACUGCACGACAGUGCGAUAGGGGGACUCCGAGUGCGAGGGCAUAUAGCCCUCGCUUUUCUGUACCGUAAGGUGGUACAGGAACAAGGACUGGGCAAGACCGGUGCCAGCCGCCGCGGUAAUACCGGCAGUCCGAGUGAUGGCCGAUAUUAUUGGGCCUAAAGCGUCCGUAGCUUGCUGUGUAAGUCCAUUGGGAAAUCGACCAGCUCAACUGGUCGGCGUCCGGUGGAAACUACACAGCUUGGGGCCGAGAGACUCAACGGAUACGUCCGGGGUAGGAGUGAAAUCCUGUAAUCCUGGACGGACCACCAAUGGGGAAACCACGUUGAGAGACCGGACCCGACAGUGAGGGACGAAAGCCAGGGUCUCGAACCGGAUUAGAUACCCGGGUAGUCCUGGCUGUAAACAAUGCUCGCUAGGUGUGGCACAGGCUACGAGCCUGUGCUGUGCCGUAGGGAAGCCGUGAAGCGAGCCGCCUGGGAAGUACGUCUGCAAGGAUGAAACUUAA